UGCAAUCUGGGUAAAGAUAAUGAAGAAUGUACAAAAGCAACAAAACCGAUGGUUGUAAAGCUUUGUGUGUAAACUAAAUAUGGAAGUACAGAGGGCAUUAUUUAUCCAGGAACAUUGAUAUGGCGGUAAAGCUUUGCGUGUAAACUAAAUAUGGACAAAAGUUGAGGAGUCAUAUAGAUAGAGAUCAAUGUUGCCCGUGCUCAUAAAUCAUGCAGAAUAAGCUUCAGUUGAUAGCAGUUACCAGCAAAGUAAGAGUACUUAUAUUUAGCUUCAGCUGGUAAGAAUAAAAUUAUAGUGCCAAUAUGUUUGUAGCAUCAAUCAUUCCACCUAUUUCAUUUUCUAACUCCCAGAACACCAUCCAAUUACCUGUAACCUGUUUGUAACAAAAGAGUAUUCAAUAAGCUUAAAAUUCAAGGGAAAAGAAAAGAAU
rnacentral:lncRNA from 1 species